AAGUGCUUGCGUGAUGCACCUGUCAGCAGUGAUUCACUUCAGCUACCCAACCGUAUGUAAAGCUUUUCCUAAAUCCCUGUAGAUAGUGAUGUAUUUUUGUUACCUGUAUUCUGAAUGUUGCUCGUGAAUUCAUAUGCCACAGGUACCCCAUUUUUGUCUGACCCAUUUCUGACAGGAUCUGGUACACCAGUGCCUUAGCUUAUUUACACGCAGACCCAACUGGCCCCAAAUGUGAUGAAAAGCGGUGCAGCCCAAUUUGUGGUCAAAAUUUGCCUGUUAAAAUGUUCAUGUUAGCUUUAUUUGCUCUCAUCCAGAGCUUUGUGACUCCCAGCAUAUGGAAUGAAAAGGUUUUCCUAGUAUCUGUGUGCUGGAUUCCCUUACCUAAUGCUGCCAUGCAGUUCCCACCCUGCCAUUUUCUCUGUUGGCAAGAGCCCGUUUCUUCUUGGAGCAGCAGUUUCCAAGGCCAGGGAUGCUGACAGGAGGCUGGAGGGCUGUGGCAACUUCCCUGAAUGGAGAGGCUCAGAAGCUGCUUGGAAGUUGGACCUUGAGACUGUUCUCCUAAAAUAUAGGGGUGUUACAGAUGCAGAGUUCUUCAGAGGCUUUGUGGCAAGCAAUAUUUCAGCUGUCCCUGCUGCAUUAAAAUAUAUGACUUGA
rnacentral:lncRNA from 1 species